AGGACGAACGCUGGCGGCGUGCUUAACACAUGCAAGUCGAGCGGAAAGGCCCUUCGGGGUACUCGAGCGGCGAACGGGUGAGUAACACGUGAGUAAUCUGCCCCUAGCUCUGGGAUAGCUCCGGGAAACCGGGAUUAAUACCGGAUACGACCACUUUAGACAUCUGUUGUGGUGGAAAGAAUUUUGGCUAGGGAUGAGCUCGCGGCCUAUCAGCUUGUUGGUGGGGUAAUGGCCUACCAAGGCGACGACGGGUAGCCGGCCUGAGAGGGCGACCGGCCACACUGGGACUGAGACACGGCCCAGACUCCUACGGGAGGCAGCAGUGGGGAAUAUUGCGCAAUGGGCGAAAGCCUGACGCAGCGACGCCGCGUGGGGGAUGAAGGCCUUCGGGUUGUAAACUGCUUUUCUCUGUGAAGAUUAUGACGGUAACAGAAGAAUAAGGAUCUGCUAACUACGUGCCAGCAGCCGC
rnacentral:rRNA from 1 species